rnacentral:sRNA from 1 species
UCCUCUCCAAUGACCGCGACGAGGGGGGCGC